rnacentral:rRNA from 1 species
GACGAACGCUGGCGGCGUGCUUAACACAUGCAAGUCGAACGAAGAGCGACGGAAGCUUGCUUCUAUCAAUCUUAGUGGCGAACGGGUGAGUAACGCGUAAUCAACCUGCCCUUCAGAGGGGGACAACAGUUGGAAACGACUGCUAAUACCGCAUACGAUCUAACCUCGGCAUCGAGGAUAGAUGAAAGGUGGCCUCUACAUGUAAGCUAUCACUGAAGGAGGGGAUUGCGUCUGAUUAGCUAGUUGGAGGGGUAACGGCCCACCAAGGCGAUGAUCAGUAGCCGGUCUGAGAGGAUGAACGGCCACAUUGGGACUGAGACACGGCCCAGACUCCUACGGGAGGCAGCAGUGGGGAAUCUUCCGCAAUGGACGAAAGUCUGACGGAGCAACGCCGCGUGAGUGAUGACGGCCUUCGGGUUGUAAAGCUCUGUUAAUCGGGACGAAAGGCCUUCUUGCGAAUAGUGAGAAGGAUUGACGGUACCGGAAUAGAAAGCCACGGCUAGCUACGUG